GCCGGGGUGGCGGAACUGGUAGACGCGCCGGACUCAAAAUCCGGUUCUGGAAACAGAGUGAGAGUUCGAUUCUCUCUCCCGGCACCA
rnacentral:tRNA from 1 species